AAGUCGUAACAAGGUUUCCGUAGGUGAACCUGCGGAAGGAUCAUUACCACAUCCAAAAUCUUACAAACCCACAAGUGUGAAGUUGUGAUGAGGAACUUUCUUCAUUUUUUUUUUGAACCCCUUUUGAACUUUUUACCAAGAGAAUAAGCAAGACUAAAAAUGAGAAAAGAGAAAACAACUUUUAACGGUGGAUCUCUUGGCUCGU
rnacentral:misc_RNA from 1 species